rnacentral:ncRNA from 1 species
AAUAUGGCUGCCAGUAGUCAUAUACUUAUCUCAAAGACUAAGCCAUGCACGUUACAUGCCUCAUUAAAGAGACAUUGGGAAUGGCUCAUUAUGUCCGAUAUGGUUCCUUGCAUCGUACCUUACUACUUGGAGAACUGUGGCAAUUCUAGAACUAAUACAGCAGAGCUCCGACUCUCUGGGGACAAGCGCUUUUAUUAGACCGAAACCAGUCGGAUCUGGUGUCUGUAUUAUAUAGUGACUCCGCAUAACUUUGGGCUGAUUGCACGGGCUCGUCCCUGCGACUUAGCUUUCUAUCGACUUAUCUUUCAAGUGUCUGCCUUAUCAACUGUCCAUGGUAAGUUACGCGCCUACAAUGGUCGUAACAGGUGACGAAGAAUCAGGGUUAGAUUCCGGAGAGGAAGUCCGAGAACCGGCUACCAUAUGCAAGGAAGACGGCAGGUGUCCAAAUUACCCAUUCCCAGAACGGGGAGGUAGUGACGAAAAAUCAUUAGGUUCACCGUUGUUACCAGUGAUAAUUUGAAAAUGCUUGGUGUGUUCGCAAAUGAACGUCAAUACCUAUCGCACGGGCGCUAAGUCUUCACUACAGAUAGCGGAAUUCCCUUUGAGCAUACAGAUCAAUU